CCUGAACGCUGGCGGCGUGGCUAAGACAUGCAAGUCGCACGGGACCCGCAAGGGUUCAGUGGCGAACGGGUGAGUAAUGAAUCGCUAAUGUACCCCGGACUCUGAGAUAGCUGCCCGAAAGGGCAGGUAAUAUCAGAUGAUAUAACCGAACCGCAUGGUUUGGUUCUCAAAGGUCCGCCGGUCUGGAGCAGGCGAUUUCGUAUCAGCUAGUUGGUGAGGUAACGGCUCACCAAGGCGACGACGCGUAGCCGGACUGAGAGGUUGGCCGGCCACAUUGGGACUGAGAUACGGCCCAGACUCCUACGGGAGGCAGCAGUGGGGAAUAUUGCACAAUGGGCGCAAGCCUGAUGCAGCAACGCCGCGUGCGGGA
rnacentral:rRNA from 1 species